AACCAUAGAAACCUGCGGAGUACCUGCGGAGGGAUCAUUACAAAUGAUGGCGAACCUCGCGUUUCGCGAGGUCUUGCAUCCAUUUUCGUAUUUAAAACAUCCCACUCUUUAAAAAAAAUAUUUAUCUAAUGAUAAAAAUAAAGAUAACUUUCAACAACGGAUCU
rnacentral:misc_RNA from 1 species